CAGUAGCCGCGGUAAUACGAAGGGGGCUAGCGUUGCUCGGAAUGACUGGGCGUAAAGGGCGCGUAGGCGGUUUGUCGAGUUAGAUGUGAAAUUCUCGGGCUUAACCUGGGGACUGCAUUUGAUACUGGCAGGCUUGAGUGUGGAAGAGGGUCGUGGAAUUCCCAGUGUAGAGGUGAAAUUCGUAGAUAUUGGGAAGAACACCGGUGGCGAAAGCGGCGACCUGGUCCAUAACUGACGCUGAGGCGCGAAAGCGUGGGGAGCAAACAGGAUUAGAUACCCCCGUAGUCCCUGUCUCUUAUAC
rnacentral:rRNA from 1 species